CGGGCAAACACCUGUUCCCGUACUAUCACCGAAGUUAAGCAACGUCGAACCUGCUUUGUAACUAGAUGAGUGACCACUUGCUAAUACCAGGUGUUGUAAG